GGAGGGAUCGCAUAGUGGCCUAGUGCGGGCGCCUGCUAAGCGCUUAGGGGCUCAAAAGGUCCCUCGAGGGUUCGAAUCCCUCUCCCUCCGCCA
rnacentral:tRNA from 1 species